rnacentral:lncRNA from 1 species
GAACAUGAUUCCAAGCUUUGAUUCAUGUGUGAAGAAAUGUUCUAUCAGUGGUGGCCAACAAAACUUGCAUGGAGAACAGAAAUGCUCUGUAUCUACACAGUGCAACAUGGUGGCCAUACUGAUACCAGCUAUUGACCAUUUUAACUCUUCAAAUUAUAUGUAACUCUAAUAAUUUAAAUAGUGGCAUGAGUCCAAUGGCCAUAUUGGACAGCCGAAUUCUAAGGGCUAUGGACCAAACUUCUCCUAUGGAACCAUCAAUUGAGGCUUUUGACUUCCCUGCUAGUAAGAGAUAUUCCCAAGUAAAGCCGGGUUCCAUGGGAAACUUGUUCAUGACUUGUGCCCUGACUAUGGCAGCAGCCUCAGCUGGGGAAAGCAGCCGCUCAGUCAUUCUGGGUCUCUCAGUGCCAUGAAAAACCAACUUGUCAAAAGACCACCAGGAAAAGAAGGAUGUGACACCAGACUUCCGACUUCCUUAUGUCAUAAUAUCAACAGCAACAGUAACAUAAUUAGACUUCAGCAGGCACUGGAUUAAGUACUUUUCUGCGGUGGCAAAUAAUGUGACUUGAUUUUCCCAGCCUCAGUUGAACCCUCUUUCCAGAUGGAGAGGCAGAAAAGCUUGUUCCCAAGCUCCUGUGUGCGGCAGCAUUCUGAAUGUGCACUACCUCCCUGUGGGGGACUGGAAGUCAGAGUGAGCUGGAGGCCCCUGCCCUGCUCCUACAGCUGCUAGCAGGCCACAGCAUGAUGUGUGCUCAGAAUCAGCAGCAGUGAGGCAGGUGAUCAGAAGUUCAGCACCUUGAUCAUGGCUUUGCUGGUCUACUGAGACGACUAUGGUGGUUGGUGUGGUAGUUCAUAGUGUCAGACAGAAGCCAUUUCUGGCUUCAGGGUGAUGCUACAGAGGCGUGUCCUUGGAUCCCAUGGUCCCUGGACUUCCAUUGCCCUACCUUUUCCAAUGGUUUUGGAAGCACCCAGUUCCUUAUAUGCAAUCCCUUUCUGCUUGAAAUGCAUAGAGUGAUUUCUGUUUUCUGCAUGUUUCCCUGAUUGACACAACUGCAUUAUCCCAUUUAGUCACUUCAGCAACCCUCUAGGGUAGGUAACUUCCCUAUUGCCUGUUUUCACAGAUGAUUAUCAAGCUCAGUUCUGUUUGUGAUAAGUGCUUUGUACACUCACAGUUUCAUACUUUCUCCACAAACCUAUACCUGUUUUAUAGAUAUUUCAGAAGCCAGAACAUGCACUUAGAAUAUCACUGCUUCUUUUUGUGAUGAAUUUGCACUCAAAGCAGAAAGGAACAGAAUAUACUUUUCAAGAAACUUGCUGAAGGAAUGAUGUUUUCUUUGCCACAAAAUGGUAGUGACUACCUCAAUUCCAAGCUCUGGCUUCCUGCUGAGAAAAUCCCAGCUCCAAGUUCUAACCACGGACAAAUAGCUAUAAACAUGGUUCCUUCUCUGAGCAUUCUGGACAAGAGAUCAUGGAUGGUUGAGGUCAUCCAUUGCCAGCUGGGGAAAUGGCCCAAAGAACAGCCUUCUCCUGGUGAGUCCAUACUGUUAUCUAUUUUGUGAAGGUAGAGUAUUGAAACUCCCAGAUUCCUGAUACUCCUUAUCUCACCUAUGACCGAGACACCCAUUAUUCCAUUUGUAGGAUGAGACACUGACCAUUCCAUGAACAAACCAAACAACUACUCUGAAAUAGUUUGUCUCAGGCUUGAGAGGUGAAAAGAUGAAAAACAAUUGCU